GAUGAACGCUAGCGGCAGGCUUAAUACAUGCAAGUCGAGGGGCAGCAUGAAUGUAGCAAUACAUUUGAUGGCGACCGGCAAACGGGUGCGGAACACGUACACAACCUUCCUAUAAGUGGGGAAUAGCCCAGAGAAAUUUGGAUUAAUACCCCGUAACAUAAUGAUGUGGCAUCACAUUAUUAUUAUAGCUACGGCGCUUGUUGAUGGGUGUGCGGCUGAUUAGAUAGUUGGCGGGGUAACGGCCCACCAAGUCUACGAUCAGUAGCUGAUGUGAGAGCAUGAUCAGCCACACGGGCACUGAGACACGGGCCCGACUCCUACGGGAGGCAGCAGUAAGGAAUAUUGGUCAAUGGACGCAAGUCUGAACCAGCCAUGCCGCGUGAAGGAUUAAGGUCCUCUGGAUUGUAAACUUCUUUUAUCUGGGACGAAAAAAGGCUAUUCUUAGUCACUUGACGGUACCAGGUGAAUAAGCACCGGCUAACUCCGUGCCAGCCGCCGCCGUAAGAC
rnacentral:rRNA from 1 species